rnacentral:rRNA from 1 species
AUUGAACGCUGGCGGCAGGCUUAACACAUGCAAGUCGAGCGGAGAUGAGGUGCUUGCACCUUAUCUUAGCGGCGGACGGGUGAGUAAUGCUUAGGAAUCUGCCUAUUAGUGGGGGACAACAUUCCGAAAGGAAUGCUAAUACCGCAUACGCCCUAAGGGGGAAAGCAGGGGAUCUUCGGACCUUGCGCUAAUAGAUGAGCCUAAGUCGGAUUAGCUAGUUGGUGGGGUAAAGGCCUACCAAGGCGACGAUCUGUAGCGGGUCUGAGAGGAUGAUCCGACACACUGGGACUGAGACACGGCCCAGACUCCUACGGGAGGCAGCAGUGGGGAAUAUUGGACAAUGGGCGAAAGCCUGAUCCAGCCAUGCCGCGUGUGUGAAGAAGGCCUUUUGGUUGUAAAGCACUUUAAGCGAGGAGGAGGCUCUCUUAGUUAAUACCUAGGAUGAGUGGACGUUACUCGCAGAAUAAGCACCGGCUAACUCUGUGCCAGCCGCCGCCGUAAUAC